GACGACGGCUGGCGGCGUGGAUUAGGCAUGCAAGUCGAACGGUAGGAUACCUUCGGGUAUCUGAGAGUGGGCGAACGGGUGAGUAACACGUAGGUGAUCUACCCUCAAGAUUGGGACAACCCAGGGAAACUUGGGCUAAUACCGGAUGAAAGCAGCAGUGAUGUUGUUUGAAAGGUGGCGUAAGCUGCCGUUUGGGGAUGAGCCUGCGCUCUAUUAGUUAGUUGGCGGGGUAAAGGCCCACCAAGGCGAUGAUAGAUAGGCGGCCUUAACGGGUGGUCGCCCACACUGGGAUUGAGAUACGGCCCAGACUCCUACGGGAGGCAGCAGUCGAGAAUAGUCUACAAUGGCCGAAAGGCUGAUAGUGCGACGCCGCGUGAACGAAGAAGCCCUUCGGGGUGUAAAGUUCUUUUAUAUGUGAGCAGUGCUUUCUAUGUGAACAGCAUGGGGAGAGAGAUAUUAGCAUAUGAAUAAGCAACGGCUAACUCCGUG
rnacentral:rRNA from 1 species